GUUCCCUGUGAUGCUUCAUUUUUCAAACCAUGCUAAUACUGAUUACACGAUGACUGAUCUUCAACUUGUCACUGAGGGAACU